AACGCUAGCUACAGGCUUAACACAUGCAAGUCGAGGGGCAGCAUGGUCUUAGCUUGCUAAGGCCGAUGGCGACCGGCGCACGGGUGAGUAACACGUAUCCAACCUGCCGUCUACUCUUGGACAGCUUUCUGAAAGGAAGAUUAAUACAAGAUGGCAUCAUGAGUCCGCAUGUUCACAUGAUUAAAGGUAUUCCGGUAGACGAUGGGGAUGCGUUCCAUUAGAUAGUAGGCGGGGUAACGGCCCACCUAGUCUUCGAUGGAUAGGGGUUCUGAGAGGAAGGUCCCCCACAUUGGAACUGAGACACGGUCCAAACUCCUACGGGAGGCAGCAGUGAGGAAUAUUGGUCAAUGGGCGCAGGCCUGAACCAGCCAAGUAGCGUGAAGGAUGACUGCCCUAUGGGUUGUAAACUUCUUUUAUAAAGGAAUAAAGUCGGGUAUGGAUACCCGUUUGCAUGUACUUUAUGAAUAAGGAUCGGCUAACUCCGUGCCAGCAGCCGCGGUAAUACGGAGGAUCCGAGCGUUAUCCGGAUUUAUUGGGUUUAAAGGGAGCGUAGAUGGAUGUUUAAGUCAGUUGUGAAAGUUUGCAGCUCAACCGUAAAAUUGCAGUUGAUACUGGAUAUCUUGAGUGCAGUUGAGGCAGGCGGAAUUCGUGGUGUAGCGGUGAAAUGCUUAGAUAUCACGAAGAACUCCGAUUGCGAAGGCAGCCUGCUAAGCUGCAACUGACAUUGAGGCUCGAAAGUGUGGGUAUCAAACAGGAUUAGAUACCCUGGUAGUCCACACGGUAAACGAUGAAUACUCGCUGUUUGCGAUAUACAGCAAGCGGCCAAGCGAAAGCGUUAAGUAUUCCACCUGGGGAGUACGCCGGCAACGGUGAAACUCAAAGGAAUUGACGGGGGCCCGCACAAGCGGAGGAACAUGUGGUUUAAUUCGAUGAUACGCGAGGAACCUUACCCGGGCUUAAAUUGCAGAUGAAUUACGGUGAAAGCCGUAAGCCGCAAGGCAUCUGUGAAGGUGCUGCAUGGUUGUCGUCAACUCGUGCCGUGAGGUGUCGGCUUAAGUGCCAUAACGAGCGCAACCCUUGUUGUCAGUUACUAACAGGUUCCGCUGAGGACUCUGACAAGACUGCCAUCGUAAGAUGUGAGGAAGGUGGGGAUGACGUCAAAUCAGCACGGCCCUUACGUCCGGGGCUACACACGUGUUACAAUGGGGGGUACAGAGGGCCGCUACCACGCGAGUGGAUGCCAAUCCCCAAAACCUCUCUCAGUUCGGACUGGAGUCUGCAACCCGACUCCACGAAGCUGGAUUCGCUAGUAAUCGCGCAUCAGCCACGGCGCGGUGAAUACGUUCCCGGGCCUUGUACACACCGCCCGUCAAGCCAUGGGAGCCGGGGGUACCUGAAGUGCGUAACCGCGAGGAGCGCCCUAGGGUAAAACUGGAG
rnacentral:rRNA from 1 species